ensembl:lncRNA
CACAACCAUAACAUCGAGAAAUGUGAUGUACUGCAUCAAUCACGUUUACCCUAUUAAUGUACUGUCUCUUCAGUAAGUUCCUUUGAAACAUCAUCACAUCUUCAUCUUAAAUCUAGAACUGAGGAAGAAAUAGGACUCAAUUAAUGUGUGACAACAGAUCUCCAAAGAAGUAGUUCUGAUGGUAUAUCCUCAGCAGUGGUAAAGGAGAAUUACAACAUCAUUUAUUCUGACGCUGAGGAAGAGAAAAUCAAUCACCUUUAAGGUCAAACUCCUAGUUUAGAAAGUCAUGUUCAUCUCAGUGUUAUUAUUUGCCUGACUUACUUGUAUCUCACUUGUAUCCCAGGAUGGAACUUCCCCCCCACCUAGCGGCGAAAUCACAGACCAACACAAAAUGCGAGUGAGUAGCGACGGAUUGUGCAGCACGGAGAUGGCACGCCGAAUGGCUGACACUGUACGGAUUUGAUACUUGGGUUAUUUAUGUGACACUUCAAUAGAGACAGCCUUAAGUGCGGUGUUUUUUGAGUAUGGAUCUGUACCAACAAGCAAAGAGAUAUUCAAAAUGAAUAUGAAGAUCUGACAUUAAUGCUGGAGUUACGUAAGUUGAAGGCAAUGAAAGAUGGACAUGCACCACUUAGUCUGACCUUUUCCACUACUGCUGUUGAAAAGCACUGCAUUGCUUCCAUCAGCUCCAGAAAAGACUGCUGCCAAGGCUUUGGCUCUGCAGGGCUCCAGUUCCCCUCAAGGUCAUCUUCCACUGGUGCACCUUCCUUUUGCUGUUACAGUUUCUGCUCUAACUCCUUCCUUGUCCCUAACACUCCACUCUCCUCAGUACUGC